CGCCGCGCCGCGCCGCGCGCGCCACUGUGCCCGCGGCCGGCAGCUCCCUCCCCUGGGCAGCUGCUGCCACCUGCUCCUCCCCUCCUCCCUCCCAAAUAAAGCGGGGUGGGGAUGCGCUGAGCCGGAUGGCCUCCCACUCGCUCUCGCUCCUCGUCACGCGCGCGCGCUCCGCCACCUCCUCCUCCCGCGCCGCCUCGCCGCCGCCGCCCCGCCCCACCGAGGCCUCUCCUCCUCCUCCUCCUACUCCGCCUUCGCCUACGCCUCCCGGGCGCGAUCCCUCGGCGUCCGCCCGGCUCGCCCCCGCGCCGCGCUCCACGGCACCGGAGGUGCAGGGAGAGGACGGAUAGGCGAGCUAGGCCGCAGAGCCAUGUCAGGUUCGACGAAUUCAACAGUGGCCGCGGAGUUGGCUGUGGCUGAGAGGAACAUCGAGCGAUUACCUUUUGUGAAUGACAAGCACGGAGGUGUUAUUAUUGAGAUGGUGGCUCCGAUGGAUCCUGGAGUGUUUUCAGCUUCACUGAAAGCAGCAUUGGCGAAAUGGAGGGAGCAGGGAAUAAGAGGUGUCUGGAUCAAAUUGCCUAUUACCCUUUCCAACCUUAUUACACCAGCUGUGGAGGAAGGUUUCUGGUACCAUCAUGCAGAGGAAACAUACUUGAUGCUUGCGUACUGGCUUCCAGAAACAACACAUACGCUACCAGUAAAUGCAACCCACCGUGUCAGUAUUGGAGCUUUUAUAAUGAAUGACAAAAGAGAGGUCUUGGCUGUACAAGAAAAGAGUGGUGUACUUCGAGGCCUUGGUGUAUGGAAAUUUCCAACUGGAGUAGUUGAACCAGGGGAAGAUAUAAAUGUUGGUGCUGUAAGAGAAGUAAAAGAAGAAACAGGGAUUGAUGCAGAAUUUGUUGAAGUGCUUGCCUUUAGGCAGAGCCACAAAGCCUUUUUUGAUAAAUCGGAUCUAUUUUUUGUAUGCCUGCUACGACCACUUUCAUUUGACAUUACUAAGCAAGACUCAGAAAUAGAGGCAUGCCAGUGGGUGCCAGUGGAGGAAUUUGCAGCGCAGCCAUUUGUCCAGAAACACGAAUUCGUGAAGUACAUCCUCAAAGUGGGUUUAGCUAAAGUGGACAAGGAAUAUGCAGGGUUUUCGCCGAUCUCCGUAAAAUCGGCAUUCACAGAUAAACUGUCCUCCUUUUACAUGAACAGGAGGGACCUCGACAGGGCUUCAGGAUCAAGCAGUCAGUAAUACACAUGAAUUCAAGAUAGUUGAAAACUUGAAAUUUCGCUUUGGUCUGUGAAAAGGGUCUGAAACUUUGAAUCAUUACUUGAUUGUUUUGUUCACCAAUUGGUAGGGACCUUCGGCACUUGAUUUUGAGCGUAUGUUGCCUGCCGCUUGUGUCUGUAAUUCAAAGGAGAUAUAGGAACCCAAAAGUACAGCUGAAACUGUUGUGCUUAUGGAUUUGUAUUUGUAGGUAUACAUACAGACAAUAAAAUGCUGGUUGGAAUUGACUGGAGACUUCUGCUU